GGAAGUAAAAGUCGUAACAAGAUUUCCGUAGGUGAACCUGCGGAAGGAUCAUUAUUGUAUAACCGAGGUGCGAGGGCUGUCGCUGACCCGAAAGGUCGUGCACGCCCGAGUGCCCUCACACACAUCCGUCUCACCCCUAUGUGCACCACCGCGUGGGUCCCCCUUUGGCUUGUUCGGAGGGGGGCUUACGUUUUCACACAAACUUUGUAUGCAGUGUAGAAUGUAUUUUUUGUUUUUGCGAUCACGCAAUCAAUACAACUUUCAACAACGGAUCUCUUGGCUCUC
rnacentral:misc_RNA from 1 species